rnacentral:tRNA from 1 species
GGGGUUGUGACUCAGUGGUAGAGAGCCUGCCUAGCAUGCAUGAGCACUGGGUUUGUUCAAUCCCCAGCACCACA